AGCGAACGCUGGCGGCAGGCCUAACACAUGCAAGUCGAACGAAGUCUUCGGACUUAGUGGCGGGCGGGUGAGUAACACGUGGGAACGUGCCUUUAGGUUCGGAAUAACUCAGGGAAACUUGUGCUAAUACCGAAUGUGCCCUUCGGGGGAAAGAUUUAUCGCCUUUAGAGCGGCCCGCGUCUGAUUAGCUAGUUGGUGGGGUAAUGGCCCACCAAGGGUACGAUCAGUAGCUGGUCUGAGAGGAUGACCAGCCACAUUGGGACUGAGACACGGCCCAAACUCCUACGGGAGGCAGCAGUGGGGAAUCUUGCGCGAUGGGCGAAAGCCUGACGCAGCCAUGCCGCGUGGAUGAUGAAGGUCUUAGGAUUGUAAAAUCCUUUCACCGGUGAAGAUAAUGACUGUAGCCGGAGAAGAAGCCCCGGCUAACUUCGUGCCAGCAGCCGCCGUAAGAC
rnacentral:rRNA from 1 species